rnacentral:rRNA from 1 species
AUGGACAAGGAUGACAUCCUCUGUUGCCACAUCCUCAAGGUGUUCACCCAUAUUGGAGUUGAUGUCAUAUCGGAAAGGUACCUGCUAAGACGGUGGACACCUACUAUUGUGCCUAGUGCACCAGGGACUGGUUAUGAGCAACCAGAUGAAAUGCCUCCUCAAUCAAAGAAGCAGAUAAGGUGGAGGAACAUGAUAUACGAUUUUCGGAAACUAGCAAAGUUUGCGAGUGGUUCUGAUACAGCACAAGCUAUUGUAUACAAGCAUAUGCUCACAGCACGUACCGAGAUCGGCCACCUGAACAAGUCCAAGAAAAAGAAAAAAUCGACUGCUGCCACUGGGCCAUCAGAUGAUGGCAACCCUCGAGGACCUCCUCCACCUCCAGGCAGCAAUCAUGGGGCUCAUUAUCCAGGUGAUGUCAACCCUCAAGGACCUCCUCCACCUCCUGGCUGUACACGGCAUCCUCUGCCACCUCCUCCCCCGUGUGCUCCUCCCAAUGGCCCUACAGGCAGCACUCAGGGGGCUCAUCGUCCAGGUGAUGCCAACCCUCAAAGACCUCCUCCCCUGCCUGGCCCAACUAGCAGUGCCCUGCAUGCUACUCCCAAUGGACCUACAGGCAGGACUCAGGGGGCUCAUCACCCAGGUGAUCGUGAUGGUGCUAUUGCCCUGUUGGAGGCUGCAUCCCCUGCACAAGCUUCUGAUGAUUUUGUGCCCAGGGAUCCUCCAAGGCCUACUACAAAGAGUAGGGCAAAGAGUCGACAGUACAAAUCGGCACUGGAGCUACACCUAGAGAAGAAAAACAAAUGCAGCCAGUGCCAAUCUAUAGAGCACACUACUGGUGUGUGUCCACUCGGGCUACUGUGA